GUUUGUUUUAAAUAUCCUGCCUAUUAAUUUCAUUUGGCGACCCCUAAUUCUUAUGUUAUGAGGAGGAGUAAAUAACCCUUCCUUAUUUACUUUCUCCACACCAGUCAUAAUUUUAUAGACCUCUCUCAUAUCCCCCCUUAGUCGUCUGUUUUACAAGCUGAAAAGUCCCAGGCUUAUUAAUCUCUC